AUGUUUAUUAGGCCGGUCCUGACACCUGCCUGCGGGGAAGGACCACCGAGACCAGAUCCUGGGUGCCAUGGGGUGCAGGGACAGACCGGUGCAUGGCAGCGGCUGCGCCUAGCCGCGCUCGCAGAUGACCUCAACCACACUGGGCUCCAUGGGCACAGGGUCUGGGCAGCGCAGGGCAGCAGAGGCCACCACUUCGUCCAGCAGCAAGUGCACGAGUUCUUCGUCGGCCACAAAACGCCACAGGUAGAGCUGCAGAAAGUGGCAGUCCACUUGCACCUGCUGCAGCCCGAAGCGCCCAAAGGUGCGCAGCCGCACACACUCCAGCAGCGUCUUCAGGCUGAUCUUGAUGAUGCCGGUCAGCACCGACACCUGCAGGCAGGGACACAGGGAUGCAGCUUGGGGACUGCAGGUGUGGGGCUGCUCCAGCCAACCCUCCCCGGGAUCCCUGGAAGUCUGAGUCACGUUGGAAGUCGGACCUUGUUGAACUCCACAGGGCUGAACACAUCAAUACGUUCAGAGAAUAGCUUCUGGAUAUUGCUCAAGA
ensembl:lncRNA novel transcript